rnacentral:tRNA from 1 species
GGGGGUGUAGCUCAGUUGGUAGAGCGCUUCGCUGGCAGCGAAGAGGCAGCAAGUUCAAACCUUGUCACCUCCACCA